UGACGGUACUUAAUGAAUAAGCCCUGGCUAAUUAUGUGCCAGCAGCCGCGGUAAUACAUAAGGGGCGAGCGUUAUCCGGAAUUAUUGGGCGUAAAGGGUGCGUAGGCGGUUUAAUAAGUCUAUAGUUUAAUUUCAGCGCUUAACGCUGUUGCGCUAUAGAAACUGUUUUACUAGAGUGAGUUAGAGGCAAGCGGAAUUCCAUGUGUAGCGGUAAAAUGCGUAAAUAUAUGGAGGAACACCAGAGGCGUAGGCGGCUUGCUGGGACUUUACUGACGCUGAGGCACGAAAGCGUGGGGAGCAAACAGGAUUAGAUACCCUGGUAGUCCACGCCGUAAACGAUGAGUACUAAGUGUCGGGUAAAACCGGUACUGAAGUUAACACAUUAAGUACUCCGCCUGAGUAGUACGUACGCAAGUAUGAAACUUAAAGGAAUUGACGGGACUCCGCACAAGCGGUGGAUCAUGUUGUUUAAUUCGAAGAUACACGAAAAACCUUACCAGGUCUUGACAUUUUCUUGCGAAGUUAUAGAAAUAUAAUGGAGGUUAUCAGGAAAACAGGUGGUGCAUGGUUGUCGUCAGCUCGUGUCGUGAGAUGUUAGGUUAAGUCCUAAAACGAGCGCAACCCUUGUCGUUAAUUGCCAGCAUGUAAUGAUGGGGACUUUAACGAGACUGCCAAUGAAAAAUUGGAGGAAGGUGGGGAUUACGUCAAAUCAUCAUGCCCCUUAUGAUCUGGGCUACAAACGUGAUACAAUGGUUGAUACAAAGAGUAGCUGAAACGCGAGUUCUUAGCCAAUCUCAC
rnacentral:rRNA from 1 species